AGGAAUAUUGGUCAAUGGACGAGAGUCUGAACCAGCCAAGUAGCGUGAAGGAUGACUGCCCUAUGGGUUGUAAACUUCUUUUAUACGGGAAUAAAGUGAGGCACGUGUGCCUUUUUGUAUGUACCGUAUGAAUAAGGAUCGGCUAACUCCGUGCCAGCAGCCGCGGUAAUACGGAGGAUCCGAGCGUUAUCCGGAUUUAUUGGGUUUAAAGGGAGCGUAGGCGGACGCUUAAGUCAGUUGUGAAAGUUUGCGGCUCAACCGUAAAAUUGCAGUUGAUACUGGGUGUCUUGAGUACAGUAGAGGCAGGCGGAAUUCGUGGUGUAGCGGUGAAAUGCUUAGAUAUCACGAAGAACUCCGAUUGCGAAGGCAGCUUGCUGGACUGUAACUGACGCUGAUGCUCGAAAGUGUGGGUAUCAAACAGGAUUAGAUACCCUGGUAGUCCACACAGUAAACGAUGAGUACUCGCUGUUUGCGAUAUACAGUAAGCGGCCAAGCGAAAGCGUUAAGUAUUCCACCUGGGGAGUACGCCGGCAACGGUGAAACUCAAAGGAAUUGACGGGGGCCCGCACAAGCGGAGGAACAUGUGGUUUAAUUCGAUGAUACGCGAGGAACCUUACCCGGGCUUGAAUUGCAACUGAAUGAUGUGGAGACAUGUCAGCCGCAAGGCAGUUGUGAAGGUGCUGCAUGGUUGUCGUCAGCUCGUGCCGUGAGGUGUCGGCUUAAGUGCCAUAACGAGCGCAACCCUUAUCGAUAGUUACCAUCAGGUUAUGCUGGGGACUCUGCCGAGACUGCCGUCGUAAGAUGUGAGGAAGGUGGGGAUGACGUCAAAUCAGCACGGCCCUUACGUCCGGGGCUACACACGUGUUACAAUGGGGGGUACAGAAGGCAGCUACACGGCGACGUGAUGCUAAUCCCUAAAGCCUCUCUCAGUUCGGAUUGGAGUCUGCAACCCGACUCCAUGAAGCUGGAUUCGCUAGUAAUCGCGCAUCAGCCACGGCGCGGUGAAUACGUUCCCG
rnacentral:rRNA from 1 species